ACUAGACAUUACUCUUUUUGAUCAUAACUUCCUUUCCAUUUAGCUCACUCACUAAGCUUCAUUUUGCGGUACUGGAGUUGGACGCUAAAAGGGCUUUGCAGUUGUUGAAAUAUAAUUUUGGCUCAUUUAUCUUGAUAAAUUUCUCCUGCUAAAAAGUGACUAAAAAUGUGAGAGUGAAGUUGGUUUAUUUAUAGAAACAGCACCACAAACAGUUCCUUGAAGACAAUCCUGUCUUGCUUUCCUGAUAUGUCCCUAGAGCUGAGCACACUGUCU